CGCGUAGGCGGUUUAUUAAGUCAGAUGUGAAAGUCCAUGGCUCAACUAUGGAAGUGCAUUUGAAACUGAUAGACUUGAGUAUUGGAGGGGGUAGUGGAAUUCCCGGUGUAGAGGUGAAGUUCGUAGAUAUCGGGAGGAAUACCGGUGGCGAAGGCGACUACCUGGCCAAAUACUGACGCUGAGGUGCGAAAGCGUGGGGAGCAAACA
rnacentral:rRNA from 1 species